rnacentral:lncRNA from 13 species
AUGUGGACACUGCAAUACAGACGCCCUGGAACGUACCCUGUCUCUACACUCAUAUAUAGACAGCAGUAUGUGGACACUGCAAUACAGACGCCCUGGAACGUACCCUNNNNNNNNNNCGUUCACCAUCAAGCCCCUGGAUGCCGCCACCAUCGUGUCGAGCGCCCGCGCCACCGGAGGGAGAAUCAUCACCGUGGAGGACCACUACAGAGAGGGGGGUCUGGGGGAGGCGGUGCUGUCUGCAGUAGGGGAGGAGCCUGGCGUCGUCGUGACGCGGCUAGCGGUGAACCGUAUACCCCGGAGUGGAAAACCUCAGGAGUUACUCGACCUGUACGGCAUCAGCGCCAAACACAUCGCCGACACCGUGCGCCAGACCUUCGCCAACUGAGACGAUCGUCUCUUCGUUUGUCUCCCAAAUGGCACCCUAUUCCCUAUGUAGUGCACUACUAAUGACCCGGUUUCCUAUUGGGCUAGUGCACUAGGUUGGGAAUAUGGUGUCAUUUGGGACAUCUCUUUCCCUCAAGUCUGUACACAUUUACCAACUUCAUCUUCUCCAUCCCUCUCUCCACAGUCUGAGGGGAAAGUACUGUAAUACCCUGUGUAUAUAGCCUCCAAAGAGGGCUUAAAAACCUAACUUCUCUCCUCCCAUCUACCACUAGUGUUAAACAGAACAGGGCUCUCUAGCGCCCCUUGUGGCUGUAAGGCCGAGUGCAGCUCUGUACGGUAUACAGCAGCAGAGCCGAUAGGCUAGCUCUCAGCGGAGAGGGAGGGGUCUGAGUGUUGUCUUGACCAUCCCAGAAGGGUAAUAUGCAGUAAUGUUUCUAGAUAACUCUUUACACACCUUAAUGCAGCCUCGUUCUAAUGAAUCCUCUUUCCUUUCUGGCAAACUGUAAUUGAGCAUUAAGGAGGGAGGGGGGGCGGGGAGGGGGUGGUAUAUGACCAAUAUACCACGGCUCAGGGCUGUUCUUAGGCACGAUGUAUCGCAGAGUAUACAGCCCUUAGCUGUGGUAUAUUGGCCAUAUAUCACAACCCCCCAAGGUGCCUUAUUGCUGUUAUAAACUGGUUAUAAAUAUAACAGUAAAAUACAUGUACGGUCUGAUACCAGGGCUUUCAGGGCUCGACCACCUGGUUUCUAAUCCUCCUUUCUCUAAGUGAUGUUGAUGGAGCGUUAGGUUCCAGCUGAAGCAUGGUGACUGUCGGGGUUCGUCCCGUUCACUAUCUAGGGAACCGGGUGCCAUCUGAGACCGUCCUGGGUAUAGAACGAGGUUUGUUUUGAGUUUGUCGUGUUCUCUGCACGGCCAGGCGACGCUGAACUAUCAGUCGCUGUGUGUUGUUUUUCAAAUGAAGAUAAACGUAGAUUUAUUUUCAGAUCUUUUGUUUCUUGGUUGGUCUCUUUUCAUUCCAGCUGCUAACAAUGUCAUUUUCAUCUCUUUCCACAUUCCGUGUGUUUUCAUGGUU